rnacentral:lncRNA from 1 species
AUUUAUUUAUUUAUUUUUAUUUUUUAUUUUAUUUUUUAUUUUUUAUAGGAUCUCACUCUGUAGCCCAGCCUGCUUUUGAAUCUGGGAUGUUUUCUCUGCCCCAGUCUCCCAUAUGAAGAAGGCAGCCCUGAGACCUCCUCACAUUUAACAUUUUUACAACUGGAGGAGAGAGUGAUGGAGGAGUCUCCAGGACAUGAUGGCCAGAAGCCCCACAUCUAGAAUAGCAGCCUGCAAAGGAGGCAAACAUGUCCUCAUCGGAAUACAAGAUCCUGCUUCUCCAGGAUGGAUCUCUCCUUCUCUCGGGCCUGCAAGCCAGGAUAUAGUUUCCACUGGAGGCAGCAUCCCAUCAGCCUCACAUUGGAUGAGCCGACAGAGUUCUUUUGAGGCUACUGGUGUUCAACCACACAGCUAGACUUAGUCCAUAGACAUAUUUGGACUUGGAAACAUUGUCACCCUCUUGCAUGGAUCAAGCUGUUUCUGCACUUUGGCCUUCUAGCCACCUGCCCCUGUUAACUUCGGAUAAACCUUGAGAGCAUCCUGUAGGACACGUGACCUCACUGAAGGAGAACCAGAGCCCAAAGGAGAAGGGCUGGUGUUGGAAGGCAGUGCUAAAGGGACAAGGCAGUAAGGAACUGAGAAGAGGGCACACACAUCGGCCUAAAAUCACUCGGCCUAAAUUCUGGUUAUUAAGAAUUGGAUCCAAUUCAGCGAUAUUUGAAAAUCACACUAUCUAUAUUCCUAACCAGUAUUAGUAGCUGGAGAAGCUCCACUUCUCAUCUUCACCCCCCACCCCCAUCUUCUGGUCAGAAGCAGUCGGGACUGGGAUUAGAGGUGAUGUAAUGUCAGGGGUUCAGGCUUCUUGUGCUGUGUGGCUCUUCUCAAAGUCACCUCACUGUCCAAGAUGCUUGCUUGAGGUCCAGCCUCAAGCCACAUCCUAGGAGGCAGGAAAAGAGAAAGGCAGAAGCAAGGGAGGGCACACUUGGAACACAUUUCCUAGAGUUCUUUACGCCUGUUCUAAAUACAUCCCGUUGCUUAGAACUUAGUGGCAUGGCUAGAUAUGGCAGCAAGAAAGGCUGUAAUCUACUCUGGAUGGCAGUAAAUUCAGUCAGUAUAGGGGGUUCCUGAGAGGAGGGAAGUCCCGGAAUGGAGGGCGAUUUGUAUAUGUGAACUCUUUCCUCUGUCCCACUUUAGAGUCAUAGGGCCAGGUCUUAUUGUUAAUUUAAUUUUGUCUUUUGCAUUUUUCUUUUCUUUUGAGACAACAUUUUGCUAUGUGGCUCAAGCUGCCACUCAAACUCACGAUCCUCCUGCCUCAGACUCCUGCCUACUGGUAUUACCAGCCUCAAUUCAAGUCUGUGUGUUUUGUGUCUUUCAUUCAGUGCUGAAGUGAGAGCUCAGGACCUCACACACACCAG